CAACCCUCAAGCACUGCUUGGUGUUGGGGCACUGCUUCUUACCCAAGGAGCAGGCCCUGAAAUCUAGUGGCGAGCUCGCCAGGACCCCGAGCGCAGUAGUUAAACCCUCGCUCUGGAAGGCCCUGGCGGUGCCCUGCCGUUAAACCCCCAACUUCUGAAA
rnacentral:misc_RNA from 2 species